CCAAACUUUAGCUGCUCCGGUUCAGGCCGGUUGCACGCUUCAACCCUUUGUGAACCAAACACCUUACGCUUCGGCAGCAGGUCCCAGCUGGAAACAGCUGGAAACAGCUGGGCUGUGAGCCUGCCGAUGGCACCAAUUUAAACCAGUCUUUUAAAAUAUUGUCUGAACUAAAUAUUUUCGAAUGAAAAUUA
rnacentral:misc_RNA from 1 species